rnacentral:rRNA from 1 species
GUUAAGCGACUAAGCGUACACGGUGGAUGCCCUGGCAGUCAGAGGCGAUGAAGGGCGUGCUAAUCUGCGAUAAGCGCCGGUAAGGUGAUAUGAACCGUUAUAACCGGCGAUACCCGAAUGGGGAAACCCAGUGUGACUCGUCACACUAUCAUUAACUGAAUCCAUAGGUUAAUGAGGCGAACCGGGGGAACUGAAACAUCUAAGUACCCCGAGGAAAAGAAAUCAACCGAGAUUCCCCCAGUAGCGGCGAGCGAACGGGGAGGAGCCCAGAGCCUGAAUCAGCAUGUGUGUUAGUGGAAGCGUCUGGAAAGGCGCGCGAUACAGGGUGACAGCCCCGUACACAAAAGCGCAUGUGCUGUGAGCUCGAUGAGUAGGGCGGGACACGUGGUAUCCUGUCUGAAUAUGGGGGGACCAUCCUCCAAGGCUAAAUACUCCUGACUGACCGAUAGUGAACCAGUACCGUGAGGGAAAGGCGAAAAGAACCCCGGCGAGGGGAGUGAAAAAGAACCUGAAACCGUGUACGUACAAGCAGUGGGAGCACCCUUCGGGG